rnacentral:rRNA from 1 species
GCUCAUCACAUCCUGGGGCUGAAGUAGGUCCCAAGGGUAUGGCUGUUCGCCAUUUAAAGUGGUACGCGAGCUGGGUUUAGAACGUCGUGAGACAGUUCGGUCCCUAUCUGCCGUGGGCGCUGGAGAAUUGAGGGGGGCUGCUCCUAGUACGAGAGGACCGGAGUGGACGCAUCACUGGUGUUCGGGUUGUCAUGCCAAUGGCAUUGCCCGGUAGCUAAAUGCGGAAGAGAUAAGUGCUGAAAGCAUCUAAGCACGAAACUUGCCCCGAGAUGAGUUCUCCCUGAGACUUUAAGUCUCCUGAAGGAACGUUGAAGACGACGACGUUGAUAGGCCGGGUGUGUAAGCGCAGCGAUGCGUUGAGCUAACCGGUACUAAUGAACCGUGAGGCUUAACCUUACAACGCCGAAGCUGUU